rnacentral:rRNA from 1 species
AGAGUUUGAUCCUGGCUCAGGAUGAACGCUGGCGGCGUGCCUAACACAUGCAAGUCGAACGGGGUUAGCUUACGGAAGUUUUCGGAUGGAAGCAGGUUAACUUAGUGGCGGACGGGUGAGUAACGCGUGGGCAACCUGCCCCGUGCCGGGGGAUACCGCCUGGAAACAGGCGCUAAUACCGCAUAAGCACAUACAGCCGCAUGGGUGUAUGUGGAAAGCUCCGGCGGCACGGGAUGGGCCCGCGCCCGAUUAGCCAGUUGGCGGGGUAACGGCCCACCAAAGCGACGAUCGGUAGCCGGCCUGAGAGGGCGGACGGCCACAUUGGGACUGAGACACGGCCCAAACUCCUACGGGAGGCAGCAGUGGGGAAUAUUGCACAAUGGGGGAAACCCUGAUGCAGCAACGCCGCGUGAGUGAAGAAGUAUUUCGGUAUGUAAAGCUCUAUCAGCAGGGAAGAAAAUGACAGUACCUGACCAAGAAGCCCCGGCUAACUACGUGCCAGCAGCCGCGGUAAUACGUAGGGGGCGAGCGUUAUCCGGAAUUACUGGGUGUAAAGGGAGCGUAGACGGCAGGGUAAGCCUGGAGUGGAAGCCCGCGGCCCAACCGCGGAACUGCUUUGGGAACUGCCCGGCUGGAGUAUGGGAGGGGUAAGCGGAAUUCCUGGUGUAGCGGUGAAAUGCGUAGAUAUCAGGAGGAACACCGGUGGCGAAGGCGGCUUACUGGACCAUAACUGACGUUGAGGCUCGAAAGCGUGGGGAGCGAACAGGAUUAGAUACCCUGGUAGUCCACGCCGUAAACGAUGAUUACUAGGUG